ensembl:lncRNA
GUUCUACAGGUGUCAAUGUAGAUCAAGCUGUUCAUGUCAUAUGCGGUACUGCGUUUUAGCAGGAUCAGAUGGUGACCAUGACAGGGGUUCCUGUCAGCAGGAUCAGACAGCCAGCAGGAUCAGACAGCCAGGAUCAGGAUCAGAAAAGGUCAACCGUGGAACUGAGAGCUGCAGGAGGUAGGGGUGCUGAGGGGGCGGUAAACCCUCCUGCUUGCCUGGCAGGCCCCCCGGUUAAGAUGGUUAAAACACUAUUGGUAUUUUAUGACUGCCCUGCUGCACCAGAGAUCCACCACAUCUUGUGCUUACAACCUCGCCCACCUGCCUGCUCGGCUGCCAGCCUACCUGCUCUGCCCACACUGCCUGCCCACCCCACCGCCCUGUCUGCCUUACCCCUCUG